UACAGAGGUCUCAAGCGUUGUUCGGAUUCAUUGGGCGUAAAGGGUGCGUAGGCGGCGCGGUAAGUCGGGUGUGAAAUCUCGGAGCUUAACUCGGAAACUGCCGUUGAUACUAUCUGUCUUGAAUACCGUGGAGGUGAGCGGAAUAUGUCAUGUAGCGGUGAAAUGCUUAGAUAUGACAUAGAACACCGAUUGCGAAGGCAGCUCACUACACGAAUAUUGACUCUGAGGCACGAAAGCGUGGGGAUCAAACAGG
rnacentral:rRNA from 1 species